GAUGAACGCUAGCGGGAGGCUUAACACAUGCAAGUCGAGGGGCAGCACGAUGUAGCAAUACGUUGGUGGCGACCGGCGCACGGGUGAGUAACGCGUAUGCAACCUACCCUGUACUGGGGGAUAGCCCGGAGAAAUUCGGAUUAAUACCCCAUCAUGAUAUUGAGAGGCAUCUUUUGAUAUUUAAAGUUUCGACGGUACGGGAUGGGCAUGCGUAACAUUAGCUAGUUGGUAGGGUAACGGCCUACCAAGGCAACGAUGUUUAGGGGUCCUGAGAGGGUGAUCCCCCACACUGGUACUGAGACACGGACCAGACUCCUACGGGAGGCAGCAGUGAGGAAUAUUGGUCAAUGGGCGUAAGCCUGAACCAGCCAUCCCGCGUGCAGGAAGAAGGCGCUAUGCGUUGUAAACUGCUUUUCCAGGGGAAGAAAACUUCCAUCGAGACGGGACUUGCCGGUACCCUGGGAAUAAGCAUCGGCUAACUCCGUGCCAGCCGCCGCCGUAAUAC
rnacentral:rRNA from 1 species